GUCAGCUAUGGCGGCGUCCCGGUCGGCCGCGCGCUGCGCGACAAGGUGGCAUGGUACGGCGAAGCCGAACUGGUGCCGCAUCUGCUGAACAUCCUAGCGACCGGCGCUGUCGACGUGACUGUCAGUUGGGGCGAAGCCGUUGCGUAUGGCAUGACUGCGAACCGCAAGGACAUCGCGCGGGAUGCCGAAACCGCAGUGCGGCGAAUGACAGCGCGCGCUUUGCGCUCGCCUCCGGGAAGAAGGACUGGCUCCUGCCGUCCCAGCCUUCGACCAAACCUGACAGGUAAGAUCAUGG
rnacentral:misc_RNA from 1 species